AGAUUCUCUUGCACACACUUUAUUUAGCCACUCUCCUUUUUGACUACCAUAUUGAAGGAUGUGUUCAUUAAAAUUCCAGCGGGGAUCAAUCUAAUAGAGGAUUGUGGUUACUUCUCUCCCCUGUUGCAAAGCUUGCCCUACGUGAACUCUGGGAGAAUUUUACAGAAGUUGUCCACUCUUUCAGGAUGAGGAGGAGGGCAGAC